GACGAACCGAGCGAACGUUGUUCGGAAUCACUGGGCUUAAAGGGCGCGUAGGCGGGCUCGCCAGUCUGUGGUGAAAUCCUCCGGCUCAACCGGAGAACUGCCUCGGAUACUGCGGGUCUCGAGGGUGAUAGGGGUAUGCGGAACUAUCGGUGGAGCGGUGAAAUGCGUUGAUAUCGAUAGGAACUCCGGUGGCGAAGGCGGCAUACUGGAUCACUUCUGACGCUGAGGCGCGAAAGCCAGGGGAGCAAACGGG
rnacentral:rRNA from 1 species